UGGAUGGAUGGAUGUACUUGUCAGAGGACUUAAAAUGCACCUUACUUUUUACUUUUACUUGAGUAUCUAUAUGAAGAACGAUCGAUACUUUCACUCCGUUACAAUGCUUGACAUGUCGUUCGCUACUUUUAUUUAUUCAUUCUUGCGUGUCCGCGUCUAUAUUGAGACGCCAUCUACGACUUCCGCAUAGGGUACCUGUUGCGCCAAUCAAACGGGAUCACUUGACAUGUCACUUGACUCCAAUUCACCAAUCAGACGACACAAGGUAGUCACAUGAUCACGCACGUAUCUUCGCGAGCCAAUCAAAAUGGCUCAUUUAAAAAAAAAAAAAAAAAACAGCCGCCAGAGUGUGUUUAUUUUACAUACUGCAAAAAUCAACAGCUUUAUCAUGCAGCUCCUAAAUUGUGACGACCCAAACUUGGAUAUUUCAGUCCACUUCAAACUUGAGAAAACAGCUUGCGGGCUGAGAUCAAUUAUCAUGGCCUAGGGGAGCAACACAUUCAACUUAGCGCGUUUGGCUGUAUGAUCUACGAGGCCUGCUCUCGCGUGGACGCUUCUAUUUUCCUCCAUGGGCCCCUCAGAGAUGAAGGGAAAGGCCGACAUUUGUUGCAUCACUCGAGUGUUCAGAGACUCCAAAUGGAAUUAUUGCACCUCCCUCGGGUCCAUCCAAGCAAAAGCAGCUGCAAAUGUGGCGUAGACCUGCGCUUAAUCCUCUUUAGGGUGUUAGAGCCACAGUGGAGCUGGUCGCAGAGAUACGACCACUGUGUACAAAAAGCAAGCUGCAAACUAUACAAUGUACUCUGUCCAUGUCAUUUAGCAUUCACCAAAAGCUCAAGUGUGGCUUUGCACACACUCCUGUUUCUGUUUUAUGCCUCCCACCUCAUGACUCUCUGUUGCCUCACCUUUGUGGUCUGUGUUCCCAAACACUCUCACAAAACCCUCUUAUUACAGCUCCAGUUUGCAUCAGAAACGCGUGUUUGUGCAUUUUGUGCUGCAAGCCAAUAGGCUAGCGUCUUGUUUUCCUGAGAUAUGGGUCCAAUAAAAUGAGCUCCAAGGCUUAAAUCAAGCCAGCAAGUGUGGGUAGAGAACGCAGAAGAACAGUUCUCUCCUGUGUGGUCGAUUAUUUCACUUUUUAUUUAUUUUUAAUUUUCCAUCCCUAAAUCAAAAUUAGACCUCAGCAUAUCGAUUUCUUAUGUCUGGCGUUAUUCGGGUUGCUCAACGAUGACACGGUGAUCGUCACGUUACUGGAAAAUUAACCAUUUAAAAUCUAUUACUCACUUUGGACAUUUUUCUACUCAACGUAGGUGUGUAAUUAUGACAACAUGAUACAGACCACCAUUAUUCUUAUCAACUUCAGGGAGUCGUAAGUUUAGACAGAAUUUCGUUCCUACGGGAAGUUGGAAUCCAUGGUUGUCCAUCACUAACCCAGUCAUAAUUACUAAUAUAAUAAUAAAUAUUUGGAUUAAAAAGACGAGGCACAAGAAAGGACACUCGGUUACCAACAUACUAACAGUAGCUACUGUUUAUUUUAUAUUUAUGACCGUAUGUUUUCCCAUAAAUAUUACUGUAAUUAUGACUUAAUGACAGCAGUGCAUUAGCAUAAAUUAGUGACAGAUUAGGAUGCGUUGAGAUUUAUGGGCAAAUUGAGGUUACGCUAAGAUCGGAACUCUAAUAAACUGUGGACCCCUAUAAUACUACUGUAAUACACGCAUGCGCACCAACUGCUUAACCUCUAGCAUUAAACCACAUUUAAUCUCAAAUAGCAGUUACUGCUCUUUAUGUGAUUGGUGAAUGAGGACUUUGCUAAUUAGUCUGACUGUCAAUGUGAAUGCAAUAGUGAUAUGCAGUGAGUGAAGCCCCGUUUACCGUGAGGUGAAAAUCUCUCAGAUAAAGACUAUAAAAAAACAUUUUGACAUACGUUUACCCCUCCCACACACUUUAAAAACAUUUACAUGUUGAACCCGUUUUAUAUUCCUAAUUAAUGGCACUCAAUUUAUUUUAGCACCACACUGAACUGCUGAUUGGGCAAUUUAAUACAGUGACUUCAUAUCUGAGAGUAUUUUGUCGAUUUACUUUUUCUUUUCUAUAUUCGAUGGUUGCCUUGUCUGUCUCAUUAUUAUCUUCUUUCAUUUGCCGGGGAAGUGUACCAGCAAGGGUUUGGU